GACGAACGCUGGCGGCGUGCUUAACACAUGCAAGUCGAACAAUGGCGAACGGGUGAAUAACACGUGAGUAACCUGCCCCCCACUUUGGGAUAACUCCGAGAAAUCGGGGCUACUACUGGAUAGUGGUGGAUGGGUUCGCGGCCUAUCAGUUUGUUGGUGCGGUGUUGGUCAACAAGGCGUGACGGGUCGCCGGCCUGAGAGGGCGACAGGCCACACUGGGCCUGAGACGCGGCCCAGACUCCUACGGGAGGCAGCCGUGGAGAAUAUUGCACAGUGGGCGGAAGCCUGAUGCAGCGACGCCGCGUGGGGGAUGACGGCCUUCGGGUUGUAAACCACUUUCAGCAAGUAAGCGGUACUUGCAGAAGAAGCGCCGGCUAACUACGUGCCAGCAGCCGCGGUAAUUC
rnacentral:rRNA from 1 species